UACGGAGGGUGCAAGCGUUAUCCGGAUUCACUGGGUUUAAAGGGUGCGUAGGCGGGCAGGUAAGUCAGUGGUGAAAUCUCAGAGCCUUAACUCUGAAACUGCCAUUGAUACUAUCUGUCUUGAAUGUUCUGGAGGUGAGCGGAAUAUGUCAUGUAGCGGUGAAAUGCUUAGAUAUGACAUAGAACACCAAUUGCGAAGGCAGCUCACUACGGAUACAUUGACACUGAGGCACGAAAGCGUGGGAUCAAACAGG
rnacentral:rRNA from 1 species